rnacentral:lncRNA from 1 species
GCCUGGCCAUGACAAGAACAAGAGAAUUAUAAAAGGGAGGUGGAAAAGGAAGGCACGAAUAAGCAGUUGUUCCAUUUCUUAAGAAAGGUGGGUAUGGUGUGAAAGCACCAGCCAUACUCAACACUAGUAACUGCACCUGAUGCUUCUGAGAAACCAAAAUGUUAUCUGAUGACCCCAAAGCUUGUGUUUUUGAGGUCAGCUCUGCUGACCUGUAGAAUCAUGCAGCUACAUUUCAUACAUUCAAGCUAAUUACUGAGGGCAUUAGGUCAAACAUUGGGUUGUGUGUGAGCAAUCUCCAUGGAAUGUGUCUUACCUUCAACAACAUGCUUUCCAAGAUCAAAAACUGGCAGGCCACAAUAGAAGUUUAUAUCUGUGUCAAAACUACCAAUUGUUAUUUACUUCAUUUCCUUUGUUUGAGCUUUUACCAAGAAACACAAUAACUUGAUGUAGAAGAUCUAUGCUCAGCACCAGUGGAUUUGCCAAGUCAAGAUUAAAA